rnacentral:rRNA from 1 species
GAUGAACGCUGGCGGCGUGCCUAAUACAUGCAAGUCGAGCGAACGGACGAGAAGCUUGCUUCUCUGAUGUUAGCGGCGGACGGGUGAGUAAUACGUGGAUAACCUACCUAUAAGACUGGGAUAACUUCGGGAAACCGGAGCUAAUACCGGAUAAUAUUUUGAACCGCAUGGUUCAAAAGUGAAAGACGGUCUUGCUGUCACUUAUAGAUGGAUCCGCGCUGCAUUAGCUAGUUGGUAAGGUAACGGCUUACCAAGGCAACGAUGCAUAGCCGACCUGAGAGGGUGAUCGGCCACACUGGAACUGAGACACGGUCCAGACUCCUACGGGAGGCAGCAGUAGGGAAUCUUCCGCAAUGGGCGAAAGCCUGACGGAGCAACGCCGCGUGAGUGAUGAAGGUCUUCGGAUCGUAAAACUCUGUUAUUAGGGAAGAACAUAUAUGUAAGUAACUGUGCACAUCUUGACGGUACCUAAUCAGAAAGCCACGGCUAACUACGUGCCAGCAGCCGCGGUAAUACGUAGGUGGCAAGCGUUAUCCGGAAUUAUUGGGCGUAAAGCGCGCGUAGGCGGUUUUUUAAGUCUGAUGUGAAAGCCCACGGCUCAACCGUGGAGGGUCAUUGGAAACUGGAAAACUUGAGUGCAGAAGAGGAAAGUGGAAUUCCAUGUGUAGCGGUGAAAUGCGCAGAGAUAUGGAGGAACACCAGUGGCGAAGGCGACUUUCUGGUCUGUAACUGACGCUGAUGUGCGAAAGCGUGGGGAUCAAACAGGAUUAGAUACCCUGGUAGUCCACGCCGUAAACGAUGAGUGCUAAGUGUUAGGGGGUUUCCGCCCCUUAGUGCUGCAGCUAACGCAUUAAGCACUCCGCCUGGGGAGUACGACCGCAAGGUUGAAACUCAAAGGAAUUGACGGGGACCCGCACAAGCGGUGGAGCAUGUGGUUUAAUUCGAAGCAACGCGAAGAACCUUACCAAAUCUUGACAUCCUUUGACAACUCUAGAGAUAGAGCUUUCCCCUUCGGGGGACAAAGUGACAGGUGGUGCAUGGUUGUCGUCAGCUCGUGUCGUGAGAUGUUGGGUUAAGUCCCGCAACGAGCGCAACCCUUAAGCUUAGUUGCCAUCAUUAAGUUGGGCACUCUAAGUUGACUGCCGGUGACAAACCGGAGGAAGGUGGGGAUGACGUCAAAUCAUCAUGCCCCUUAUGAUUUGGGCUACACACGUGCUACAAUGGACAAUACAAAGGGCAGCGAAACCGCGAGGUCAAGCAAAUCCCAUAAAGUUGUUCUCAGUUCGGAUUGUAGUCUGCAACUCGACUACAUGAAGCUGGAAUCGCUAGUAAUCGUAGAUCAGCAUGCUACGGUGAAUACGUUCCCGGGUCU